rnacentral:rRNA from 1 species
GAUGAACGCUGGCGGCGUGCCUAAUACAUGCAAGUCGAGCGAACAGACGAGGAGCUUGCUCCUCUGACGUUAGCGGCGGACGGGUGAGUAACACGUGGAUAACCUACCUAUAAGACUGGGAUAACUUCGGGAAACCGGAGCUAAUACCGGAUAAUAUAUUGAACCGCAUGGUUCAAUAGUGAAAGACGGUUUUGCUGUCACUUAUAGAUGGAUCCGCGCCGCAUUAGCUAGUUGGUAAGGUAACGGCUUACCAAGGCAACGAUGCGUAGCCGACCUGAGAGGGUGAUCGGCCACACUGGAACUGAGACACGGUCCAGACUCCUACGGGAGGCAGCAGUAGGGAAUCUUCAGCAAUGGGCGAAAGCCUGACGGAGCAACGCCGCGUGAGUGAUGAAGGUCUUCGGAUCGUAAAACUCUGUUAUUAGGGAAGAACAAAUGUGUAAGUAACUAUGCACGUCUUGACGGUACCUAAUCAGAAAGCCACGGCUAACUACGUG